AUUGAACGCUGGCGGCAGGCCUAACACAUGCAAGUCGAGCGGUAGAGAGAAGCUUGCUUCUCUUGAGAGCGGCGGACGGGUGAGUAAUGCCUAGGAAUCUGCCUGGUAGUGGGGGAUAACGUUCGGAAACGGACGCUAAUACCGCAUACGUCCUACGGGAGAAAGCAGGGGACCUUCGGGCCUUGCGCUAUCAGAUGAGCCUAGGUCGGAUUAGCUAGUUGGUGGGGUAAUGGCUCACCAAGGCGACGAUCCGUAACUGGUCUGAGAGGAUGAUCAGUCACACUGGAACUGAGACACGGUCCAGACUCCUACGGGAGGCAGCGGUGGGGAAUAUUGUACAAUGGGCGAAAGCCUGAUCCAGCCAUGCCGCGUGUGUGAAGAAGGUCUUCGGAUUGUAAAGCACUUUAAGUUGGGAGGAAGGGCAGUAAAUUAAUACUUUGCUGUUUUGACGUUACCGACAGAAUAAGCACCGGCUAACUCUGUG
rnacentral:rRNA from 1 species